AGAGUUUGAUCAUGGCUCAGAUUGAACGCUGGCGGCAGGCUUAACACAUGCAAGUCGAACGGUAACAGGAAGGAAGCUUGCUUUCUUUGCUGACGAGUGGCGGACGGGUGAGUAAUGCUCGGGAAUCUGGCUUAUGGAGGGGGAUAACUACGGGAAACUGUAGCUAAUACCGCGUAAUAUCUUCGGAUUAAAGGGUGGGACCGUAAGGCCACCUGCCAUAAGAUGAGCCCAAGUGGGAUUAGGUAGUUGGUGGGGUAAAGGCCUACCAAGCCGACGAUCUCUAGCUGGUCUGAGAGGAUGACCAGCCACACUGGAACUGAGACACGGUCCAGACUCCUACGGGAGGCAGCAGUGGGGAAUAUUGCACAAUGGGGGGAACCCUGAUGCAGCCAUGCCGCGUGAAUGAAGAAGGCCUUCGGGUUGUAAAGUUCUUUCGGUGAUGAGGAAGGCAGGUAAGUUAAUAGCUUACUUGAUUGACGUUAGUCACAGAAGAAGCACCGGCUAACUCCGUGCCAGCAGCCGCGGUAAUACGGAGGGUGCGAGCGUUAAUCGGAAUGACUGGGCGUAAAGGGCACGCAGGCGGUGACUUAAGUGAGAUGUGAAAGCCCCGGGCUUAACCUGGGAAUUGCAUUUCAUACUGGGUCGCUAGAGUAUUUUAGGGAGGGGUAGAAUUCCACGUGUAGCGGUGAAAUGCGUAGAGAUGUGGAGGAAUACCGAAGGCGAAGGCAGCCCCUUGGGAAUAUACUGACGCUCAUGUGCGAAAGCGUGGGGAGCAAACAGGAUUAGAUACCCUGGUAGUCCACGCUGUAAACGCUGUCGAUUUGGGGAUUGGGCUUUGAGCUUGGUGCCCGUAGCU
rnacentral:rRNA from 1 species